UAGAGUCAUGAAGCAGAUGCAUGCUAGUGCUGCGUUGUACUCUACAAGCCAAUUGGAAUCUGCUGUGAAGUUAAAAUACUGAAAUAUGAUUGCCAAUACCAAGAAGACUAUCCCAACAACAAUACCCAAUGAUUCAGGCACUUUAACAGUGCCCUGAGGGGUACCCUUCUUGUUAAUAUCAUAACCAAAAAGAUUCCUCCUCAAAACGUAUCGAGAAGCCACAGGAAUCAUCUUGACAGUCAAGAAGAAUCCUGCAAGGCUAAGGACAGCAUUGAUGAGGAUUGAUAUUUUGAGGUCAUGCUGGAUUUUGUAGUGGUAGAAAAGCAAAUAAAAGUAAGGAGCGAUAAGCAAGAGAGAGAGCUUGAAAAUGGAGGCAGAUUUUGGAGGAGCAAUUGGUGAGUCAGUAGUUUCUUGGGGUUUGUGAUCGGUUUUGGUAUCGGUACAGACUGAUUUCGCGGUGCUUGUGUCUGUGGCCGCUAACGCCCUCUUGCGAGCUGCCAUGCCUCACUCGAACUUCUCUGUUUCUCUGCAAGUCUGUGUCUCUCCACCAUA
rnacentral:misc_RNA from 1 species